rnacentral:rRNA from 1 species
GACGAACGCUGGCGGCGUGCUUAACACAUGCAAGUCGAGCGGUAAGGCCCUUUCGGGGGUACACGAGCGGCGAACGGGUGAGUAACACGUGGGUGACCUGCCCUCAGCUCUGGGAUAAGCCUGGGAAACCGGGUCUAAUACCGGAUAUGACUCCAUGACGCAUGUUGUGGGGUGGAAAGCCUUGUGCGGCUGAGGAUGGGCCCGCGGCCUAUCAGCUUGUUGGUGGGGGAUGGCCUACCAAGGCGACGACGGGUAGCCGGCCUGAGAGGGCGACCGGCCACACUGGGACUGAGACACGGCCCAGACUCCUACGGGAGGCAGCAGUGGGGAAUCUUGCGCAAUGGGCGAAAGCCUGACGCAGCGACGCCGC